UACGUAGGGGGCGAGCGUUGUCCGGAUUUACUGGGCGUAAAGCGCGUGUAGGCGGUUCGAUUAGUCUGCUGUGAAAGCUCCCCGCUUAACGAGGAGAGGUCGGUGGAUACUGUCGGACUUGAGGACGGUAGAGGGGGGUGGAAUUCCCGGUGUAGUGGUGAAAUGCGCAGAUAUCAGGAGGAACACCAGCGGCGAAGGCGGCGCUCUGGGCCGGUACUGACGCUGAGGAGCGAAAGCGUGGGUAGCAAACAGG
rnacentral:rRNA from 1 species